UACGUAGGGCGCAAGCGUUGUCCGGAAUUAUUGGGCGUAAAGCGUGCGCAGGCGGUUUUGUAAGCCAGAUGUGAAAUCCCCGGGCUUAACCUGGGAAUGGCAUUUGGGACUGCAAGGCUUGAGUGCGGCAGAGGAGACUGGAAUUCCUGGUGUAGCAGUGAAAUGCGUAGAUAUCAGGAGGAACACCGAUGGCGAAGGCAGGUCUCUGGGCUGACACUGACGCUCAUGCACGAAAGCGUGGGGAGCAAACAGG
rnacentral:rRNA from 1 species